rnacentral:rRNA from 1 species
UGGGGAAUAUUGGACAAUGGGCGAAAGCCUGAUCCAGCAAUGCCGCGUGAGUGAUGAAGGCCUUAGGGUUGUAAAGCUCUUUUACCAGGGAUGAUAAUGACAGUACCUGGAGAAUAAGCUCCGGCUAACUCCGUGCCAGCAGCCGCGGUAAUACGAAGGGAGCUAGCGUUGUUCGGAAUCACUGGGCGUAAAGCGCACGUAGGUGGGCAGUUAAGUCAGGGGUGAAAGCCCGAGGCUCAACCUCGGAAUUGCCUCUGAUACUGGCUGUCUAGAGUUCGAGAGAGGUGAGUGAAAUUCCUAGUGUAGAGGUGAAAUUCGUAGAUAUUAGGAAGAACACCGGUGGCGAAGGCGGCUCACUGGCUCGAUACUGACACUGAGGUGCGAAAGCGUGGGGAGCAAACAGGAUUAGAUACCCCCGUAGUCCCUGAGCGGGCUGGCAAGGCGCAU